rnacentral:rRNA from 1 species
UACGUAGGGGGCAAGCGUUAUCCGGAUUUACUGGGUGUAAAGGGGGCGCAGACGGCAGCGCAAGCCAGGAGUGAGAGCCCGGGGCCCAACCCCGGGACUGCUCUUGGAACUGCGCGGCUGGAGUGCAGGAGGGGCAGGCGGAAUUCCUGGUGUAGCGGUGAAAUGCGUAGAUAUCAGGAGGAACACCGGUGGCGAAGGCGGCCUGCUGGACUGCGACUGACGUUGAGGCCCGAAAGCGUGGGGAGCAAACAGG